CUGUUAUUGUUUUGUUCGUGAAUAGCAUGACGAUGGCUUUCAUACUCCUGCGGGGUAGGUUUAUGUUUUCCUUUCCCCAGUAAUUUCCGUCCAAUUCAUACGUCGGAAGCUUGGCAUAAGUUCAGUUGUCCGGUCCAUUAUGUUUUUAUUAUAGUAUAACUUUAUUUCUUUCGUUUACUUUGUAGGUACUUGUAUAUAGCUCCGGCAAUUAGGAUCGCAACAAUCCAUAGAUUUUGGGCAAGGAAGGCGAGACCCUUAGCUCCC